rnacentral:misc_RNA from 1 species
GUGAAUCAUCGAAUCUUUGAACGCAAAUUGCACUCCCUGGUAUUCCGGGGAGUAUGCCUGUUUGAGGGACGUAAGAAUCUAAAAUCGAGGCGUCGCUCUUUUUUUGAAGGGUGAAUGCGUAGGCAUUGAGCCGUGUUGCAAAUGUUAAUUUAUGUUAAAGUGGCUUGAAAUUAAUCGAUUUG